rnacentral:lncRNA from 1 species
AUACAGUGGCGUGUAGACAUCCUAUUUUUAGUUCUUAUUGAUCCAGUAAGGUGAUAGUAUUAUCAUCUCCAUUUUGCAGAUGAGGGAUCUGAAGUUUAGGGAGGUUAUGUAACUUGCCCAAGGUUACAGAGCCACUAUGUGGGGGAACUUAGUCCAGACAGCUCAACUCCAGAGCAUGCUCUCUUAGUCACCAAACGGCAGAGGGUGGGAAGGAGUUUGCAGUUGUUGUCAAACACAGUCAGCUUCUUAGAGAGGGGAAAGGAGCUAUGAAUAUAUGUAGUGCAGGGAUUGGAGUGCUUUCCCUUCUCCUUCCCUACCAGUUAAUCCGUAAAUAUGUUAGCAGAACACAGCCAAUCUUUAUGGUCACCUGGACACAGUGGUCCUGAGUGGACUCUGGGGAAGAAGCAUCAGAGACAAGAGAAAGAAUCAGGAGGCCCCAUGGUUAACCAGGAAGUAUAUGCUUUGAUGGUGGUAAACCCUGAGUGGCUCCUACAACAGGAUUGA